GGAGGGUGCAAGCGUUAAUCGGAAUUACUGGGCGUAAAGCGCGCGUAGGCGGCCAAUCAAGUUGGAUGUGAAAGCCCUGGGCUUAACCUGGGAACUGCAUUCAAAACUAGUUGGCUAGAGUACAGUAGAGGUGAGUGGAAUUUCCGGUGUAGCGGUGAAAUGCGUAGAUAUCGGAAGGAACACCAGUGGCGAAGGCGACUCACUGGACUGAUACUGACGCUGAGGUGCGAAAGCGUGGGGGAGCAAACAGGAUUAGAGACCCUGGUAGUCCACGCCGUAAACGAUGAGAACUAGCUGUUGGGGUGCGUUGACACCUUAGUAGCGAAGCUAACGCGAUAAGUUCUCCGCCUGGGAGUACGGUCGCAAGAUUA
rnacentral:rRNA from 1 species